rnacentral:misc_RNA from 1 species
GAUGAAGAACGUAGCGAAAUGCGAUAAGUAAUGUGAAUUGCAGAAUUCAGUGAAUCAUCGAAUCUUUGAACGCACCUUGCACCCUUUGGCAUUCCGAAGGGUAUGCUCGUUUGAGUGUCAUUGUACUCUCACACUUCCAAUCUUUGGAUUGGGAGCAGUGGACUUGGGUGUUGCUGCUUACUGUGGCUCACCUCAAAUCGAUUCGUGCACCUCUUGGUUGGACAUAGUACGGCGUGAUAAGUGUCUUCGCCGGCACCUCAGUAGAGGGUGACUGAUCAGGAGCUCUGUGCUUCAAACCGUCCUCGGACAACAACUGACAACUUGACCUCAAAUCGAGUAGGACUACCCGCUGAACUUAAGCAUAUCAAUAAGCGGAGGA